rnacentral:misc_RNA from 1 species
GAUGAAGAACGUAGCGAAAUGCGAUACUUGGUGUGAAUUGCAGAAUCCCGUGAACCAUCGAGUCUUUGAACGCAAGUUGCGCCCGAAGCCAUUAGGCCGAGGGCACGCCUGCCUGGGCGUCACACGUCGUUGCCCCCCCAUCUACUCCUUCGGGAUUGCGGGGGGCGGAUGAUGGCCUCCCGUGCGCCUCGCCGCGCGGUUGGCAUAAAUGCCAAGUCCUCGGCGACGCACGCCACGACAAUCGGUGGUUGCGAGACCUCGGUUGCCCGUCGUGUGCGGUCGUCGCGCAUCGAGGGCUCGAAAAAAUUGCCGGGUUCCGGCUCGGCUUUCAACGCGACCCCAGGUCAGGCGGGGUUACCCGCUGAAUUUAAGCAUAUCAAUAAGCGGAGGA